CCUGGGCCCCUGGGAGUGCAGAGAUGCCUGGGUGUGCAGCUGCAGCUUGGGUGGCUGCAGCUGCGGCUUGGGUGGCUGCAGCUGCAGCUUGGGUGGCUGCAGCUAUGCCUGGAGCUCAUGCCUGCUCCCACUCCUCAAGAGCACAGGGAUGUCCAGGCUUGGAGCCAUGGCUGGGCAGCUGCAGCUGCGCCCAGGGAGCAUGAGGCUCCUGCCCUGCCAACUCAGGAGCGGGCUGGCCUUCCACCUGUUUCUGGCUCCCUCCGGCUCCAUGGAGCAUGCAACCCUGGCCACACCUCCCCAGUGAAGCCAGUGUCAUGGCAGCAGCCACUCUAGAUGGGCCAUGGCUGCCAUCAUUAGGGCUUUACUAUACACAUGUUAAAAAGUAAUUAAACGUGGUUUCUACCCUCCUGACAUUAAAAACUGAUCAAUUCCAGAUGGAUUAUAGAUAUAGUUGUGGAAGACAAAACAAUCAAACUUUUAGAAAAAAGUCAAAGACAUUAUUUUCAGGUUUUCCAAGUUGGGAAAUGUGAUACAAAACUAUUCAGUUUAAAUAAAAAAUCAAUACCUUUAACUAUUAAAAUUGAGGACUGCUAUUUAUCCAAAGAUACAAUGAAGAGACUGAAAGGCAAAGAUUAAAAAAAGACUAAAGAUUUAAAAAAUUAAAUAUGUAUACACACAUGAAUGGAAUAUGUGAAAAAGUCUCCAAGUAAAGAAAAAAGGACAAUUCACUAGAAAUAGAAGAAAAGUCUUAAACAGUCUCAUCCCAAAGAAGAUAUCCUAAUGAACAGUGGACAUGAACAGGGGCUCAACUUCGUUAAUUAUCUCUCAUUCUCAAGGAAAAGCAAAUUAGACUGUGAAUAAAAUCUCCAUGUACCCACUAGGAUGACUACAAUUCAAAAGGCUGACCUAUCCAGGUGAAGAUGAGAGUGUGCAGCAUUGGAAAUUCUUACACAUUGCUGGAGAUUUAGAAGCUAAAGAAAGAGGACAAAUGAUUUGGAAGCAAAGAUAAGAAGGAAGAAGGGUAUGUUAUCUACGUCACUUCGAGCUCUGUCACAUGAGGAAUAAUAGAGGAAAAGCAGGGCAUUGCCCCUAGAGGGAGGUGCUAGCAUCUCUGCCACUCCUCAGUUUGUGAACUUUCUAUGCCUUAUUUCAUCAUCUUCUCAAUGAGCACAUCAAUAUCCAAUUCAUAUUGUUUUGUGAGGCUGAAUUGAGAUAAUGUACAUAGAAGUCUUAUCUUAUUUUGAACACUGAAAAUUUGGUAAAACUUUCCAUUAAGUGUUAAAUAUCAACACAUUUCGUAAACAUGAUAUUUAAAUAUAUGUUCUUUCUAAAAAGGUUUCCAGAGCAUAAAAUUUGUAAUAAGGUGUGAAUGUGUGAUCUUUUAUGUAGCUAUCAUUAAUAUUUUUCAUAAUUUCUGUUUUGAUUUUUUUUUAUGAGACAGAGUCUGGGUCUGUCACCCAGGCUGGAGUGCAGGGGUGCAAUCUCAGCUCCCUGCAACCUCUGCCUCUGCAGCUCAAGUGAUCCUCCUGCCUAAGCCUCUUGAGUAGAUGGGAACACAGGUGUGCACAACAACCUCUGACUAAUUUUUUUUAUUUAUUUUUAUUUUUUUCUGUAGAGAUGGGGUCUCGCCAUGUUUCCCAGGCUGGUCUCAAACUCCUAGAUUCAAGCGAUCCACCUGCCUUGGCCUCCCAAAGUGCUGGCAUUAUAGGCAUGAGGCACCAUGCCAGGCCUGUUUUGAAAUUUCAUACAUAUUUAUAAAACAUAUUUUCAGGAUGAGAGAAUAUACGAAGAAGUUACAUAGCAUUGUGUAUCUGUAUAGAAUAAAAAUGAUCUAAAUCAAUGUCAUCAGACCAUGGCUUUAUAGACACCAUCUUCUAGUCAAAUCACUCAUCUGUUUUUACCCAGUACUCAUACUGUGGGAAAAGUGUAGGGGCACAGAACAGUGAACACUUUCGGGAAUGUUGGAAUCAUUCUGUAUUAGAAUUUUAUUCUUAUAAAAAAUGUUGGUGAAUCAGUCUGGAUUAGGUCAUGGAAACAACACACCAUCAAUCAUCACGGAAAGAAGGUGUUUCAUGUGGGAAUUUUAAGAAUAUAGGACAAACAGGAUGUGGGAGAGAUGGGGUUUCAAGGUCUGAUAAGGGAAUAUUUGGUGGGAUAAAGAAAUAGUGACGAAGCACUUCAGCCUGAAGAGACUUCUUAGAAACCUAUCAGGCCCAUAUUUCCUUCUCCCAAAAGGCAAAAAUAGUACUUAAGUUAUCCUCACCAGGAGAUUUGGCUACAGAAAUGAAUAACCCAAUUUUUAAUCUAUUCAGCUAGUCUCACCACUGCUACCCAAAGAGCUACCUGAGAGUCUUGGAGACACAACUGAACACCAAUGAUAAUCUCUUAGAUUAUAGCUGGGGAUAUUACCAAAGAUGUGAUUUACCCAGAAGGAUUAACUCUAGUGAAGCAGCUAGAUCAGGAAGGUUACUGGGGUCCGAGUUUGGACUAUGCCCUGCUUGGAAUGAGAAUAUGGUCAGAAAUCUUGUACUGUUAAUAGAAUGACUGCUCCACUGGCCAAACCAUCAGAGCACAGCAGAAGUCCCAAACUCCCUUGCUCAUGUGGUCCUAGACAACUACAUUGUUUUUGACUGUCUUCUUGCUGUACAGGGUGAUGUUUGUGCUGUUGCUAACAUUUGCUGCUGCACCUGGGUAAAUACAUCUAGUUAGAUUGAAUUGGACACAUCUAAGAUCCUAAAGUUAGCUAAAUCUCUGAAUGGGACACCUUCAAAAAGCCUCCUGGCUGGACUUCCUGGCUUGAAUUUACAAUUUCCAGAUAUUUUCAGCUGGCUUUUGUCUCUAGUCUAGGAUACCUUCUGUGUUCCAUCCUACAGAUCUUAAUGAUCCUUCUAUUUGGGCUAAUCAUUUGGGUACUCUUUUGAAUUGUUCUAGCCUGUUUUUUUUGUUUGUUUGUUUUGUUUUGUUUGGAGAUGGAGUUUCACACUUGUUGCCCAGGCUGGAGUGCAAUGGUGGGAUCUCGGCUCACUGCAACCUCCACCUCCUUGGUUCAAGCGAUUCUCCUGCCUCAGCCUCCCGAGUAGCUGGGAUUACAGGCACGCACCACCACACCCGGCUAGUUUUGUAUUUUUAGUAGAGAUGCAUUUUCUUCAUGUUGCUCAGGCUGGUCUCAAACUCCUGACCUCAGGUGAUCCGCCCACUUCGGCCUCCCAGUGUGCUGAGAUUACAGGUGUGAGCCACUGCGCCCAGCUCUUCUAGCCUGUUUUAACAGAUAUCUGCAAGAGGCUUGGAUCAUGCUGACCUAACCCAGGAAAUUUUAAAUUUACUCCAGACAGGAACCAGAAUCAACAUAACCUACGAGACUUUGAUUAGAAUCUAACAGGUACCUGAGUGCCUUUUGUAAGUAAAUGGCUCUAGUUGCUCAAUUGGCCACUGCUCUGCCACCAGGAUCCCUAGAAGAGACCAGAUAAACCUGAAGCACGUAGCUAAUCACUUCCAUGCCGUGAUGGAAUGCAGUGCUGUCUGCCAACAAGUUUGAGCCAGUCUUUCAAGAUGCAUCCUGAGUGGCUAACUGGGCCUGCAUUUCAAGUUGAGCCAAGGGACCAUUUGCUAACGAGGGGACACACACAUGUUCUGAGUUCACCCAAAACACAUACCUUAUUAUUUUGGGGCUUUUCAGCCCACCUGCCUCUGCUAAUCAGGGCUCAGCUGUAUUGACCCAUUAGAACUCAGCUGGGUUGACCAAUCAGAACUAAGUGAGUUUGGAGUUUUAAUUCUCAAUUGAAUGAACAGACCUGAUUGGGAACCUGCGUGGGAACUUUGGCUAUUAAACCUGAGCAUUCUUUCUGUUCUCUGGAAGAAAUAAUGUUUAAGUUGCUAACACUUUAUGCAUUUUCCUAAAAUUGAAUCAAACAACUCCUUUUGAAACAUAACCCUGAUAUCAGGGAAGUCGUACAACACCGUGCUAAAUAAUUUUAUACCUCUAACCAAGGUCUGUGCCCUAAUCAGCAGGAAGUGCCAGAGUGUCUGUCACCCAUUCUCCCUCAAGAUUGAGAAAUGAACAAUGAAAAAAGGGGGAUUUGAAAAUGCAGAACCAGCCCAAUGUGGUUCAAGUUUGUGUAAUAAAAUAAUGCGUUGUUUUACUGUUGCCACGGUCUCCUGGUUUCAAGUUAUGUUACCUGAGCAUGCCCAGACACACUCUGCAUGCAACCACGGUGGAACCUAAGUACUUGGACCAAGGAGCAGGGCUGAUUUAAGAAGGAGACACCUCAGGGCUUAAUCUGUGAUCUGAUCAGAUCCAGCCCUGACAUCACCUCAUGGCACGAUGCAGUCAGAUCUUACCUCAUUACCCUCUGUCUAUAAAACCUGCCCCAACCCCCAGAUCUGAGAGACAAAUUUUUAGAUAUGCUUUCCCCCAUCUCCUUCCUAGUUGAAUAAAAAUAAACCUUUCCCUCUACAAAACCCUUGUGCUUCCUUGUUUGGCUUUCCAUUGCAAUCAGGCAAACGGCCUGCAUUGCUUUAGGUAACUGACACUCCCAAGACUCAAGGAGCUGCCGCGCAGCACUAUUUUGAAAGCCCAGCCCCCAUCAGACUGUAUCUUGCUCUGGGGCCCAACAGCCCCAGCAUCUCCACUUCCCUGGAGCCCUGCGGACAUCUCUUCAUUUCCACCCAGAGGGCUGCAACUUUGUCCCGUGGGCUGAAUCCAGUGGUGCAGUAAGGAACAGGCAGUGCACCACACCAGGGAGACUGCCCCCAGGACAAAGGGAGCCCAAAUGCACACUCCUCAGUUUCUGAAAGCCACUUGCCCGGGGCCACUGCCACCGACAGCAACCCUCUCAACUUUCCACCCGAAGCAGGGCCACCAAGCAUCUGCAUGUGCCUCCCAUGGUCCUGGAGCUGGUCUGCCCAGACGCAGUUCUGUGUCCUGAGGACAGGCUCUCACACCACCCGUCACGCAAACAUGGUGCCCAGGGCCUGGGGAUCAUGCUGCCUCAACUGUAGCUGCGGGCGUGUGCCCACAACAUCAGGAAGUGUGACAGCAGGCCCAGGUCACCUGCCACUGGCACCCAAGCAUGCCAUCCAGGAGCUUGGUGAUUGUUCGGCCACACUCGCCAUAGCCUGCACCCUUGCACGCCAUUGGAGGGCCUAAGGACGGGAAAGCAACAUGCCUCCCUGGAGAGAGCUUGAUUCUGUUCUGGCAUAUGUUAGAGAAAAGUACUAAACCAAGUCAGAUGGUUUGGAAUGUGGUCUAAUUUUUUAUUUUUUUUUAGACGGAGUCUCGCUCUGUCGCCCAGGCUGGAGUACAGUGGCGCGAUCUCGGCUCACUGCAAGCUCCGCCUCCUAGGUUCACGCCAUUCUCCUGCCUCAGCCUCCAGAGUAGCUGGGACUACAGGCGCCCGCCACAACGCCCGGCUAAUUUUUUGUAUUUUUAGUAGAGACAGGGUUUCACCGUGUUAACCAGGAUGCUCUCCAUCUCCUGACCUCAUGAUCCGUCCUCCUCGGUCUCCCAAAGUGCUGGGAUUACAGGCGUGAGCCACAGCGCCUGGCCAGAAUAUGGUCUAAAUAUUAAUACUACCAAACUGGGGAGGAAGUAACUUAAUUUUGCUGAUUUUUCAUUUUCUUAUACUUUAUUGGUUUACAAAGAAACCAUUAUUUGCUUUUAAUGGCAGAGUUAUUCUUUUCUACUGUGAAGUUACUUCAACUCAUAAAAAUGUAUUUUAUUUACACCUUUGUAGCAAUGGAGCUUGGAAGAAAAUAUAAAGCAUAUCUACAUGAACAUUUCAUCUAGUAUUCUGUGUUCUCACCUGGUCUUCUAUAAAGUUUCAGUUCAAGUGAAGAAACAGUGCUUGGCAGCACCAUGCUCUAUUGUGAAAGGAGGCAUUUGCCGUGUGAUUGGAUCACAGGUAGUUCAAGGUAACAAAAGGCCUCAAAGCAAUUAGGAAAGACAGGAUUAUUAAUGUGGAUUUAAUGGCAUUAGCUGCUUCCUUGCUUUUUUCUCACUGUGUUAUUUUGAAUAACCGCAUAGUUUUUUCAAGAUUGUAAUAUAUAUAGUCUAAUCCAUAUGAUUUUUAUACAUGUGAGUAACACAAUGCAGGUAUAUAAAACUCUGACCAAUGUUUCUGUAAAACAGAGUUCUGCAAACUAUGGCUUAUGGGUGCCAUCCUGUUAUUGAAAGUAAAAAUUGAUUGGAACAUAGCCACACCUAUUGGUUUAUGUAUUUUCUAUGGCUGUGUUUGCACUACAUGCAGAGCUGAGUAAUUCAGACAGAGACUGUAUGACCUGCAAAGCCAUAAAUCGUUACUAUCUGGUAUUUUACAGAAAAGAUUACCAGCCAUUGCCAUAAAGAGUAAAACCUUAUUUUCUGAUAAAAAUAACUGCAAAAAAGAAAAUCAGAAAUAAGAAGCCUAGUGAAAUACAUUGUAUUUUCAGUUCAAAAAUAAUUUUUAAUUGCUAUAAGAAACAUCAACCACUUUCCUAGGACUUUUCACACAUAAGACAAAG
rnacentral:lncRNA from 10 species